UACGAGGGGGGCGAGCGUUGUUCGGAAUUAUUGGGCGUAAAGGGUGCGUAGGCGGUUUGGUAAGUCUGAUGUGAAAUCUAUGGGCUCAACUCAUAGUCUGCAUCGGAAACUGCCGGGCUUGAGUAUGGGAGAGGUGAGUGGAAUUCCUGGUGUAGCGGUGAAAUGCGUAGAUAUCUGGAGGAACACCGGUGGCGAAGGCGGCAUCCUGGACCGGCAUUGACGCUGAGGCGCGAAAGCUAGGGGAGCAAACGGG
rnacentral:rRNA from 1 species